AUGAACGCUAGCUACAGGCUUAACACAUGCAAGUCGAGGGGAAACGGCAUCGAAAGCUUGCUUUUGAUGGGCGUCGACCGGCGCACGGGUGAGUAACGCGUAUCCAACCUGCCCAUCACUUGGGAAUAACCUUGCGAAAGUAAGACUAAUGCCCAAUGACAUCCCACGAAGGCAUCCGAAUGGGAUUAAAGAUUUAUCGGUGAUGGAUGGGGAUGCGUCUGAUUAGCUUGUUGGCGGGGUGACGGCCCACCAAGGCAACGAUCAGUAGGGGUUCUGAGAGGAAGGUCCCCCACAUUGGAACUGAGACACGGUCCAAACUCCUACGGGAGGCAGCAGUGAGGAAUAUUGGUCAAUGGGUGAGAGCCUGAACCAGCCAAGUAGCGUGCAGGAUGACGGCCCUAUGGGUUGUAAACUGCUUUUAUAAGGGAAUAAAGUGGGUCACGUGUGACUUUUUGCAUGUACCUUAUGAAUAAGGACCGGCUAAUUCCGUG
rnacentral:rRNA from 1 species